CAGUAGCCGCGGUAAUACGAAGGGUGCAAGCGUUACUCGGAAUUACUGGGCGUAAAGCGCACGUAGGCGGCUUGGUAAGUUAGAGGUGAAAGCCCGGAGCUCAACUCCGGAAUUGCCUUUAAGACUGCCGAGCUAGUAGGUGAGAGAGGUAAGUGGAAUUCCGAGUGUAGAGGUGAAAUUCGUAGAUAUUGGGUAGAACACCGGUGGCGAAGGCGGCCAUCUGGACCGGAUCUGACGCUGAGGCGCGAAAGCGUGGGGAGCAAACAGGAUUAGAUACCCCAGUAGUCCCUGUCUCUUAACA
rnacentral:rRNA from 1 species